UACGGAUGGUGCGAGCGUUGUUCGGAAUUACUGGGCGUAAAGGGCGCGUAGGCGGCGUGUCAAGUCAGAUGUGAAAGCCCACGGCUCAACCGUGGAAGUGCAUCUGAAACUGGCAUGCUUGAGUACUGGAGAGGAGUGUGGAAUUCCUGGUGUAGAGGUGAAAUUCGUAGAUAUCAGGAGGAAUACCGGUGGCGAAGGCGACACUCUGGACAGAUACUGACGCUGAGGCGCGAAAGCGUGGGGAGCAAACAGG
rnacentral:rRNA from 1 species